rnacentral:rRNA from 1 species
GAUGAACGCUGACAGAAUGCUUAACACAUGCAAGUCUUUGGUGAAGCUGUGCUUGCACAGCCUAGCCAAGGCGGACGGGUGAGUAACGCGUAAGGAACUUGCCCUGCAGUCAGGGAUAACAGACGGAAACGACUGAUAAGACCUGGUAAAGUCAGGCGGACUCAUGUCCAGCCUGAUGAAAAGAGAUGCUGCAGGAGAGCCUUGCGUCCUAUUAGCUUGUUGGUGGGGUAACGGCCCACCAAGGCAAUGAUAGGUAGCCGGCCUGAGAGGGUGGACGGCCACAAGGGGACUGAGAUACGGCCCUUACUCCUACGGGAGGCAGCAGUGGGGAAUAGUGGACAAUGGGGGCAACCCUGAUCCAGCAAUUCUGUGUGCACGAUGAAGGUUUUCGGAGUGUAAAGUGCUUUCAGCAGGGAAGAAAAAAAUGACGGUACCUGCAGAAGAAGCGACGGCUAAAUACGUG